GAGGUUAUUGAACAACUAACCACAAAAUUACAUACGUCAUUACGUCAGUUCAAAACAGUUGCGUGAUUAGUGUGUGAGAGAGGCGGAUAUAUCGUCUUCCCUUUCCACCCGAAGAAACCAGCUAGUAAUCGCCUUUGGCCUUAACGAUGAAAUUAUUUUCUUUUCUGCCGAGAAUUCGUUCAUUUCCUUUUCCAAUUGGAAAGAGGACGAAAACAAGUUUCAAACUGAUGAACAUCUAAAGAAAAUAACGACGAUGGAAUGGAAUGCGGACGGAACUCAAUUGGCUGCCAUCUUCAAUCAAGAUGUCAUCGUGUGUUGGGAUUAUCCAAGUGGCGAAAUUCUCUUU